ensembl:ncRNA lncRNA:CR45325 long non-coding RNA:CR45325
UGGCCGAGACAAUGUAGCUGCUUUUCGCUGGUUGGCCCAACUAAUUAGCGAAAGUAUUGAGCCAAGCCUCGGCCUGGUCCAGUCUACACCAGCACACUCCAGACAGGCGAUGCACUGGCAGAAUAAAGGGCGCACUUUCUUUCAUUUUUCACACAGAGAAGGAGAUCGCUAGAAUGAGAUGCCACUUACAGCACCCCGAUUCAUCUCAGUGUAGUCUUGAGUGUCUAGUUUACCGCCAGUUCCGAAUCUCCGAAUGGACGUAUUUAAUUUAUCCACUCACACCAGCACUCCAAUCGCUAGCUGUGCCAUGGAUGCGAUGCUGUAAACGAACUCUGGCGUGUGGUGACAUUGAACGGCAUCCACAACACACAAACACACAACAAGUAAACAACGGCCGGGGCGUUGCCUAUGUGCCGCCAUGCGUAUGAGCGUUAUUAUCACGUAUACGUAUGGUAAACAUGGUAAACAGCAUCUUCCCCGCCCACAGCGGCGGCAGCAUGGGCGUGGCACCGUCGACGCUGAUAAUUAAAUCUAUUUCGCACUGUCUGUUUGAGCUUAAAGACUCCGAUUGAACUUUGGAAAGUGAAAACUAGGGAAAAUAAAAGAGAAAAGCGCUCCACGCUUCUAC